UCAUCUAUUUUGGUCCUUAUUUGCACUACAAUAGCUGGUACUACAGGUAUGUGCCACAGUGCCUGCCUCUUGCUUUGUGUUUUAACCUGGCUUUUGGUUACGCCCAGUUUCAUUUUAUUGCUCUCUUUUUAGAAAAGGAAGGCUGCAGGGAGUUAAGGAAUGAAUCAACAUGGAGGCCAUGAUCUUAAACCACAUUUUUAAGAGAAACAAAGAAGAAGCUCUGAGGCCCAGAUCAAAGGAAGCAUGUGUUAUGAUGAAGAGUGGAAUGUCUCCAGGGUGGAAAGCAGUCCAAAGAAGAGAAGAAGUAGGGGAUGUUAUAACCACUCUGAGAAAAGCCUGCUCUUCACUUCCAGAUCACUGCAGCAGAGAGCUUCAGGAAAUGAAUGGGACCAGCAGAUAUUAACAGUGAACUGACCCUGGGUGUUGCCUACUUGUUCCCCUUCUGCCAUGAUUUUGUUUUGUUUGUGAGAGUGAUACAGGGGAUUGAACCCAGGGCCUUGCAUGUACUACUCUAGUGCUGUAUCACUGAGCUACAUCCUCAACCUUUUAAAAAAUUACAUUUUGAGACAAUGUCUCACUAAGUUGCCCAGGCUGAUCUUGAACUUGGGAUCCUUUUUUUCUCAGCUUCCUGAGUAGCUGGAGUUACAGGUGUGCACUAGCACACCUUGCUAUAUACCAUGACGUUUUAACUUAUAAGGGGUAUGUUUAAAAACACUAAGAUAAUAUACCUCUUCUACAUUAUAAAUUAGCAGAAACGGGAAGAAAUAUCACAGAGAGACAAGGGAGCAGAGGAAGUAAGCUUUAAAAUGAGGAAGGGCAUGUAACCUAACCUUUCUGAGCCUUUGUUUUAUUAUCUGUAAAAUGGAGAUGUCAUGAGGUAGGGAUGGGCUGUAAUGAAUGUUAAAAAGCCUGAUUCCCUUCAAAUAUUUAGUGUG
rnacentral:lncRNA from 1 species